GAGUUAACUAAGAUCUAUGGAGAAGCCGAGAUUGAUAAGUAUACUUUGUGGGACACAACAACCCUAAAGUGACCUCUAUGAGUUAAGUGAUAAAUAAGGGAGUGCAGUAAGAUUGUAAUGCAUCAAACUGCUGAGUUUUGAUCUCUGGCUGUGAAUUCUUGAGAUGUGGUUAUGAACCAGUAGAAAACACCACAGAGCAUGUCUUAAUAGUGUCAGACUAUCCAUUUCUUUGCUCUGUUCUAAAUUCUAAUGAGUUCAACACUUCCUUGUUGGGUUCUGAUGCGUGAUCUUUCCUGUAAAGUAAAUGAUGGGUGCUAGAGUUCACUGGUAGAUGUAUGUGUUAAGUUCGUUUCUUUUAUUCUAAAGAGAUGGAAUGUGGAAGUAGGUUCUAUACAGCUAAUGAGUUCAAAUUGGA